rnacentral:misc_RNA from 1 species
GUCAAACAAGUCAGUCAGCCUUCUGCUUCGGUGCGAGGCCAACGGUACGCAGCAUUCAUCCGGCGAAUGAAUGUCUCUGACCAUUUGUGUCGUUUGUAAUUUCAGAGUAGUAGACAGGAACUGAAUCGGCCAAGUGAUGGUGGCUCUUUGUGAUUCGGCGCGACGCUAUUGAUUUUCUGGGCGGUGUAUCACGGGCGCCGCCAUAGUAAAUGGAAGAAAAGCGUCUUUCUUUACAAAUUUUGUCAGUAGUUUGUUGUCGGCGUUCGCGUUCACAUCCGUCUCCACAUCCUCCUUCAACUGUGAUAUGCCCAGAUGGAAUUGCUUUAAAAACAAUUCGUGUGACAUUUUAGAAGACGUACUGCCGUAUACAUUGCCGUGAAAAUGCCACGCGUGUCCGUUCGUCGACUAUUUGUCUACGCGAUCUACACUGUAGUGGUCACAUCGCUGGUCAUGUUGGCAUUUCACGUUCAGCAACAGAAUCCAUUAUGGCUGCGAGUUCUCGAGCAAUCAUCCGGCUCAGGUGGCUAUUAUCAACAAAAUAGCAAAGAAAUUGAAGAUGAAGCACCAGCACAUUUCGUUGUGGUCAAUAACGACGAGAAAACAUCUGUGGAUAAUGUGACCACCGCUAACAUCAAUCCCUUACGUAGCCAUGGUCUGCCAUGGUACAUUAAAAACGAUGGUUAUAGGCCAUCACAGGGCGAUGUGGUAGACAACAUCUGGCCCGAUGGCCGAUUAAAUGGUGACCGAAUCGAACAACAGCUGAUGGUUCCCACACGAGAUGCUGAUGGCAUUUCAGGUGAGGGCUCAUCUUUUCUUGCCGGUGUUGUGAAGCCGUUGAAGAAAAUUUUCUUGCCAAACGGAUUGGGUUCGUGGCAGACAAAGAGCGGACAGAAAGUUUUCACCGACCAAAAAUGUCCUGUGGAUCGGUGUUCGCUGACAAGCAAUCGCGAAGAAGCUGCCAAUGCAGACGCUAUCAUGUUUAAAGAUUUUUUUGCUACACCAAGUCAUCAAAGACCUCCUCAUCAGAUUUGGAUCAUGUACAUGUUGGAAUGCCCUUUGCAUACUCAGUACAUCCGAGAAAAAGACGUGUUCAACUGGACGGCUACCUACAAAUCGGAUAGCGAAUUGGUAACACCCUACGAAAAAUGGGUUUACUACGACGUAAAAGUCAGAAGGAAACCAGUGACAACCAAUUUCGCAGCCAACAAGACGAAACAAGUGGCCUGGUUUGUGUCCAACUGCGGAGCCAAAAAUAAUCGUCUCGAAUACGCACACAGCCUACAGAAGUAUAUAGAUGUCGAUAUCUACGGCAGUUGCGGAACCAAAAACUGUCCCAGGCACAGCGGGGACCAUUGCCUUGAUAUUUUAUCAACCGAUUAUAAAUUUUACUUGGCCUUCGAGAACUCUAAUUGCCGAGACUACAUCACAGAGAAGUUCUAUGUCAAUGGGCUUGGAUCUAAAGUCCUUCCCAUCGUGAUGGGUGCUCCAAGAAAAGAUUACGAAAAGCAUGCCCCAGAACAUUCUUUUAUUCACGUGGACGACUUUGCGUCGCCUAAAGAACUGGCCGAUUACCUCCACCGAUUGGACUCAAACGACUCGCUGUACAACGAGUACUUUGAAUGGAAGGAAACUGGCCAAUUUAUCAACACGUAUUUCUUUUGCCGUUUGUGUGCCAUGUUGCACGAAGCUCCUUAUUCACCGGCGCGCAGUUACGAAGAUUUCAACGAGUGGUGGCGAGGUGGCACAAACUGCAUUAAAGGAUCGUGGCGGGAUCUCGAAAUCCAUCGACGUAAAAAAAAGAAGAAGAUAAUGGAGUUAACGCAGGCAACAAGUUGAAUUGAUUAUUACAUUCCACUAUUUAAAUUCCGUGGCGAUUCGUAAUGCCAAUUCCAUGGCAGAGAUUGUCACGUUAUUUAAGAAACUUGAAGAAAAACAUAUACGCAUGUACGCACACACAUACAGUUCGUGGAGGAUUUAUAGGUGAGAAUUGGAAUGAGCAAUUAAACACCUGGGAUUUAAAAAGGUUUAAUGCCAUCCCAAUUUUGUUUGAAUUGAAGAAAAAAAAGGAUGUUUGUGAUUUACCCCAAAUCAAUUUGGUUAUUUUUUUCUCUGGGUGCUAGUCACUGAUACAGUGAACGUGUGUAUGCAAAUUUCUUUUUUUUUUUAUGUCUACCGCACACUGCGAUUCUAUUUUGUGUAACGUCAUUAUAUUUCAGACCAACGGGCGCACAUAACCCAGUCGCGAUUGAUUGCACAUAACUGUUAAAAAAAAAGAGGCCAUUUUGAUUGUUUUUCUGUUGAAGGUAUUUGGCUGUUCAGAUUUUGUUUUCAAAUCGUCAUCUGUAUAAUUGAAUGCCCGUUUUUUAAUCAUUUCGAAUGGAAUUUACUGUUACACUGGAUCGCUAACUGAAAAAUACACGAAAGGAUCGAUAUACCCGAAA